rnacentral:lncRNA from 1 species
CAACAGUGCAAUGUGUGACACAACAGUGCUGUGUGUGACACAACAGUGCAAUGUGUGACACAACAGUGCUGUGUGUGACACAACAGUGCAAUGUGUGACACAACAGUGCUGAGUGUGACACAACAGUGCUGAGUGUGACACAACAGUGCAAUGUGUGACACAACAGUGCUGAGUGUGACACAACAGUGCAAUGUGUGACACAACAGUGCUGAGUGUGACACAACAGUGCUGUGUGUGACACAACAGUGCUGUGUGUGACACAACAGUGCAAUGUGUGACACAACAGUGCUGUGUGACACAACAGUGCUGAGUGUGACACAACAGUGGCAAUGUGUGACACAACAGUGCUGAGUGUGACACAACAGUGC